GUGCUCGCUUUGGCAGCACAUAUACUAAAACUGGAACAAGAUAGAGAAGAUUAGCACGGCCCCUGUGCAGGGAUGACAUGCAAAUUCAUGAAGCAUUCCAUAUUAAA